rnacentral:misc_RNA from 1 species
AAGUCGUAACAAGGUUUCCGUAGGUGAACCUGCGGAAGGAUCAUUAAAGAGAAAAAAACACAACACCGUGCACAAACAAAACGAACAAAUACAAAAUAAUCAGUGUCUUAAAAAACUAGUACAACUUUUAGCAACGGAUCUCUAGGUUCUC